rnacentral:lncRNA from 1 species
AGCCCCUCGUCACCAUUCUUUUUCAAGGCCUUGCCCUGUGAGUACAACAUAGCUGCCGUCAUGCUCAGCCUUACCCACAUACUGAGCUGACCCAUCCAUAACCCAAGCUUGGUCUUUAAACAGGGUGCGUGGAACCUUUCCAUAUGGCCACGGGUGACGGGGGGAGAGAUGCUGGUGCAACUGUAGUGAGUGACGUGGAGACCCGGACUGCCUGUUUGUGCAGUUCGUGGUCUGUUCCUGUUGUGCUCGGUGUCAAAUGACUCAGGUUCAUCCUGUGAUAACUGGUAGCAGCUCCACCUGCCUAUGACUCAUUUUGUGCAACAGAACCUACUCACGAUGUUAAGCUCUGAAUCCAGGGUCAUUUGGCAUCCCUUUCAGGACAGAAAGCGCAGAAUUAUUUUUUAAAAGAACAACCCUGCAGCUGACUUGUUCCAGGCUGGAACCUGGAACCCGCAACUCACAUGGGUGCAAGGACACAAGUACUUGGGCCACCCUGUGUUGUGUCCCCACAUUAAGAGGAAGAAGGAUUGGAAGUGGAACAGCACAGACUCAGUGCACAAUGACAGAACAAGUGCUGCAGGAUGUCCCAGUGCCCUGUGACAGGAGCCCAGUGCUGCAGGAGGACCCAGUGCCCUGUGACAGGAGCCCAGUGCUGCAGGAGGACCCAGUGCCCUGUGACAGGAGCCCAGUGCUGCAGGAGGAGGACCCAGUGCCCUGUGACAGGAGCCCAGUGCUGCAGGAGGAUACCCCGCCUGUGACAGGAGCCCAGUGCUGCAGGAGGAGGACCCCCUGCCCUGUGACAGGCGCCCACUGCUGCAGGAGAAGGACCCCCCCCUCUAGGGGAGCCGCCCAUUGCUGAAGAAAAACAACCCACCGAUGGUGACAAAAGCUCUUCUUUU